GAGUUUGAUCCUGGCUCAGGAUGAACGCUGGCGGCGUGCCUAACACAUGCAAGUCGAGCGAAGCACUUUGCUUAGAUUCUUCGGAUGAAGAGGAUUGUGACUGAGCGGCGGACGGGUGAGUAACGCGUGGGUAACCUGCCUCAUACAGGGGGAUAACAGCUAGAAAUGACUGCUAAUACCGCAUAAGACCACAGCACCGCAUGGUGCGGGGGUAAAAACUCCGGUGGUAUGAGAUGGACCCGCGUCUGAUUAGCUAGUUGGUAAGGUAACGGCCUACCAAGGCGACGAUCAGUAGCCGACCUGAGAGGGUGACCGGCCACAUUGGGACUGAGACACGGCCCAAACUCCUACGGGAGGCAGCAGUGGGGAAUAUUGCACAAUGGGGGAAACCCUGAUGCAGCGACGCCGCGUGAGCGAAGAAGUAUUUCGGUAUGUAAAGCUCUAUCAGCAGGGAAGAAAAUGACGGUACCUGACUAAGAAGCACCGGCUAAAUACGUGCCAGCAGCCGCGGUAAUUC
rnacentral:rRNA from 1 species